GGGGAAUUUUCCGCAAUGGGCGCAAGCCUGACGGAGCAAUACCGCGUGAGGGAGGAAGGCUCUUGGGUCGUAAACCUCUUUUCUCUGGGAAGAAUAACUGACGGUACCAGAGGAAUCAGCAUCGGCUAACUCCGUGCCAGCAGCCGCGGUAAUACGGGGGAUGCAAGCGUUAUCCGGAAUUAUUGGGCGUAAAGCGUCCGCAGGUGGCUAAUCAAGUCUGUUGUCAAAGCGCGGAGCUUAACUCCGUACAGGCGAUGGAAACUGGUUGGCUAGAGUUAGGUAGGGGUAAGAGGAAUUCCCAGUGUAGCGGUGAAAUGCGUAGAUAUUGGGAAGAACACCGGCGGCGAAAGCGUCUUACUGGGCCUAAACUGACACUGAGGGACGAAAGCUAGGGGAGCGAAAGGGAUUAGAUACCCCUGUAGUCCUAGCCGUAAACGAUGACAACUAGGUGUUGCCCGUAUCGACCCGGGCAGUGCCGUAGCUAACGCGUUAAGUUGUCCGCCUGGGGAGUACGCACGCAAGUGUGAAACUCAAAGGAAUUGACGGGGGCCCGCACAAGCGGUGGAGUAUGUGGUUUAAUUCGAUGCAACGCGAAGAACCUUACCAGGGCUUGACAUGUGCAGAAUCCUCUUGAAAGGGAGGAGUGCCUUCGGGAGCUGCAACACAGGUGGUGCAUGGCUGUCGUCAGCUCGUGUCGUGAGAUGUUGGGUUAAGUCCCGCAACGAGCGCAACCCACGUUUCUAGUUGCCAUCAUUAAGUUGGGCACUUUAGAGAGACUGCCGGUGACAAACCGGAGGAAGGUGUGGAUGACGUCAAGUCAGCAUGCCCCUUACGCCCUGGGCUACACACGUACUACAAUGCUACGGACAAAGGGACGCUAGCCAGCGAUGGUAUGCAAAUCUCAUAAACCGUAGCCCAGUUCAGAUUGCAGGCUGCAACUCGCCUGCAUGAAGGCGGAAUCGCUAGUAAUCGCAGGUCAGCAUACUGCGGUGAAUACGUUCCCGGGCCUUGUACACACCGCCCGUCACACCAUGGGAGUUGGCCACGCCCGAAGUCGUUACUCCAACCUUUCGGGGGGGAGGGCGCCUAAGGCGGGACUGAUGACUGGGGUGAAGUCGUAACAAGGUAGCCGUACCGGAAGGUGUGGCUGGAUCACCUCCU
rnacentral:rRNA from 1 species